rnacentral:rRNA from 1 species
AUUGAACGCUGGCGGCAGGCCUAACACAUGCAAGUCGAACGAGUGGCGGAAGGGUUGGUCAUGUCUGUGAAACUGCCUGAUGGAGGGGGAUAACUACUGGAAACAAUAGCUAAUACCGCAUACCAUCGGAUGUGCCCAGAUGGGAUUAGCUUGUAGGUGGGGGAACGGAGAACCCAGGCGACGAUCCCUAGCUGGUCUGAGAGGAUGACCAGCCACACUGGAACUUAGACACGGUCCAGACUCCUACGGGAGGCAGCAGUGGGGAAUAUUGCACAAUGGGCGCAAGCCUGAUGCAGCCAUGCCGCGUGUAUGAAGAAGGCCUUCGGGUUGUAAAGUACUUUCAGCGAGGAGGCGUUACUCGCAGAAGAAGCACCGGCUAACUCCGUGCCAGCAGCCGCGGUAAUAC